GUAGGGAAUUUUCGUCAAUGGGCGCAAGCCUGAACGAGCAAUGCCGCGUGAGUGAAGAAGGUCUUCGGAUUGUAAACCUCUUUUGUCGGGGAGCAAAGAGACAUCGCGAUGUCAAAAGUGAGAGUACCCGAAGAAAAAGCAUCGGCUAACUCCGUGCCAGCAGCCGCGGUAAUACGGAGGAUGCGAGCGUUAUCCGGAUUUAUUGGGUUUAAAGGGUGCGUAGGCGGACUGUUAAGCCGGCGGUAAAAGCCCGGGGCUCAACCCCGGCAAGCCGUCGGAACUGGCAGACUAGAGUAGGCGAGAGGUACGCGGAAUGCGCGGUGUAGCGGUGAAAUGCAUAGAUAUCGCGCAGAACUCCGAUUGCGAAGGCAGCGUACUGGCGCCCGACUGACGCUGAGGCACGAAAGCGUGGGUAUCGAACAGGA
rnacentral:rRNA from 1 species